rnacentral:ncRNA from 2 species
UACUUUUGCAAUGCUUUAGGUUUUCCUGCGAACAAUAUCGCUGGAAAUUAAAAGGGAAUAUGGUGUAAAUCCAUAACUGUCCCGCAGCUGUAAGCUCCAUAACCAUAGUCUAAUCAAUUAAGUCACUGUCCGCCAACCAAGCGCGACGGGAAGACGGGACGAAGGGGAGCAAGUCAGAAGACCUGCCAAAGCCAUACUAUUAUU